rnacentral:misc_RNA from 1 species
UUUCCGUAGGUGAACCUGCGGAAGGAUCAUUACAGUUGGGGCCCCGCCCCGAUCAAGAUACCACCCCUUGCUUUUUGAGUACCUCUGUUUCCUCGGCGGGCUCGCCCGCCAACGGGGACCACAACAAACUCUUGUAGUUGCAGUAAGCGUCUGAAAACAAAUAAUCAAAACUUUCAACAACGGAUCUCUUGGUUCUGGCAUCGAUGAAGAACGCAGC